rfam:Auricularia subglabra TFB-10046 SS5 ATRDEscaffold_65_Cont1853, whole genome shotgun sequence.
GCCUCGCUAGCUCAAUCGGUAGAGCGUGAGACUCUUAAUCUCAAGGCUGCGGGUUCGACCCCCGCGUGGGGCU